AUGUGUGUUCUGCUUUCUUUUCUACCCUCCAGGAGAAGACAUGCAUGCAGUCCCUGCUACCACAGCUCACACAGUCUGGUUUCCCACGUGUUGGUAAAUCAGAGGGGUUGUCGUGCUCAAGGUGCAAGAAGUGGAUGGAAAAAGGCAACCAGCUCUAACAACGCUGUCGUGUGUUUCCCUUGCCAGCCAGAUUUUUUUCCUGUUGCUGUUGUACCCAGCCCUGAAAGUAGAGGAAAGUGCUCGGUGAUGUCCCUCCAACACUGCCUGCACCUUGGUGGGCUUUGGCUGCUGCACCAACAGCACAGGCACUGUGGGGAGCAAGGUUUGGAAAUGGGCCCUCAAGGCUCUUGGACCGGGGGAACAUUCCUGAGCUAUUGCUGCUGCACAGCUCAGCCCGUGGAAAGUGCUGACCAGAGAGACCUGGUCAGAUCCACCAGAGGUAACAAACUGCUGUGGCUUUGAAACAAGAAACUGCACAUCUUCACCAGGAUGCGUUUUGCCUUGAGAGCUGGAAAGAAAAGGUCGUGAACAUUAAAAGCAUUUACGAAAUACCAUGGAUUGCUUUUCUGUAGCAAAGGUAAGAGAUUUAGACCAAUACUAUUGGUACCUGCAGUUUAAGGGAGACUAUAGUAGUGGUUAACAGCUAAGUCCUUCCUUACCAGCAAGGUUUUGCAUGGCCCUCAGCAGACAGUGCUUAGAAAUGUUCUCAACAAUGCCAGUUAUUCCCCCUCACCCACAGCAACAUGCAAGUCCACUGCGUUCCUUAUAACCCAGCACAGAUGGCACGUUACAUGCUUUGGAGGACUCGGGCCCGCUCCUCUACUUUGUGCAAAGCCUGCUGCAGCUUCUUAGCUACAGAAAAACAAGAAAAUGUCCUGUUUGGGCUAGACUGGGGUCUGUAAUCCUGGUGCCAUCAGUCAGUGUGAAAGGCCGGUUCCUUAAAAAGGAAAAGCUCAGCUGCAGUACCAUGGAUAUAUACACAUGGAUAAAGCAGAGAUGGCUUUGACGUUCAGAGCCGUUGGUGCAACAUUCCUGUCAUGUCACAAACGUAUCAGCCUGAACGCUUUGCUGACUGCAUUACGCUUCCGAAGCGCAGUCAGGGCCCGAUGCUGCCCGCGAAGGCUGACAGCGUGCGGAGCUGCCAUGUGCUUUGCAAAACUGACCUCAACCGUGCAGCCUGUAAUGGCAGGGGUACAUGGUUUAAUAUCAUAUACCUUCAGAAGAGGGAGAAUCGAUGCAGACUUUCAUUUUAAGGUCAUUUCCCUACUGAGCGCCAUUCAUUCUGAGGAUCAAAUCUGUACUUUGACGUAUCUACAAUAAAAACUUCGGUGCAAAGCGGUGAUUCA
rnacentral:lncRNA from 1 species